rnacentral:tRNA from 1 species
GCACUCGUAGCUCAAUUGGAUAGAGCACCUGACUACGGAUCAGGAGGUUGUAGGUUCAAAUCCCGCCGAGUGCGCCA